GUUGAGCUAAACCUUGGGAUUCCUGAUAUUGACGCACAAUCUGUUCCUGGACUUCAGCGCCUGUGAUUGCAUUCAUUGAUAUUACGCGAACCGGUUACAACUGCUCUACACUAAAAGCAACAGAGAACAACAUAGAGAGCCAAAGAAAGAGAAAGAGCAAGAGCGAGAGACAAAGCGACACACACACACACAGGAGAAAUCAAAUAAAGAAUUGGUAAUAAAGGCGAGGCUCCCGCAACUUUGGCACGGUCAAUGUGAAAAUUAUUGUUUCAUUGAAACAGACAGCAACAACUACAUAUGUCAACAUAUAUAAUUAUAUAUCACCCAAAGAGGAGAGAGAGACGGAUAUGGGGGAAAACUGCUCUGCAAUGAAACCAACCACGUGCAGUGGCUUAUAGGCCUGGCCCUGUGUGAAACGUGCGAAUGUGAAAAACUGAUUGGCCCAAGGGCGCUGAUAAAGCGAGAAGCGCUGUGGGGUGAGUGUCAAGUGUAAAUUUUCAAUUUUCGCCAUGUG